GGAGAGAUGGCUCAGUGGUUAAGAGCACUUGCUGUUCCCGCAGAGGACCUAGGUUCAAGUCCCAGUCUCUACA
rnacentral:tRNA from 1 species